GAUGAACGCUGGCGGCGUGCCUAAUACAUGCAAGUCGAGCGAACAGACGAGGAGCUUGCUCCUCUGACGUUAGCGGCGGACGGGUGAGUAACACGUGGAUAACCUACCUAUAAGACUGGGAUAACUUCGGGAAACCGGAGCUAAUACCGGAUAAUAUAUUGAACCGCAUGGUUCAAUAGUGAAAGACGGUUUUGCUGUCACUUAUAGAUGGAUCCGCGCCGCAUUAGCUAGUUGGUAAGGUAACGGCUUACCAAGGCAACGAUGCGUAGCCGACCUGAGAGGGUGAUCGGCCACACUGGGACUGAGACACGGGCCAGACUCCUACGGGAGGCAGCAGUAGGGAAUCUUCCGCAAUGGGCGAAAGCCUGACGGAGCAACGCCGCGUGAGUGAUGAAGGUCUUCGGAUCGUAAAACUCUGUUAUUAGGGAAGAACAAAUGUGUAAGUAACUAUGCACGUCUUGACGGUACCUAAUCAGAAAGCCACGGCUAACUACGUGC
rnacentral:rRNA from 1 species